rnacentral:rRNA from 1 species
GGGGGAUGACGGUACCGGAAGAAUAAGCACCGGCUAACUACGUGCCAGCAGCCGCGGUAAUACGUAGGGUGCAAGCGUUAAUCGGAAUUACUGGGCGUAAAGCGUGCGCAGGCGGUUCGCUAAGACAGAUGUGAAAUCCCCGGGCUUAACCUGGGAACUGCAUUUGUGACUGGCGGGCUAGAGUAUGGCAGAGGGGGGUAGAAUUCCACGUGUAGCAGUGAAAUGCGUAGAGAUGUGGAGGAAUACCGAUGGCGAAGGCAGCCCCCUGGGCCAAUACUGACGCUCAUGCACGAAAGCGUGGGGAGCAAACAGGAUUAGAUACCCUGGUAGUCCACGCCCUAAACGAUGUCAACUAGUUGUCGGGUCUUCAUUGACUUGGUAACGUAGCUAACGCGUGAAGUUGACCGCCUGGGGAGUACGGUCGCAAGAUUAAAACUCAAAGGAAUUGACGGGGACCCGCACAAGCGGUGGAUGAUGUGGAUUAAUUCGAUGCAACGCGAAAAACCUUACCUACCCUUGACAUGUACGGAACCUUGCUGAGAGGUGAGGGUGCCCGAAAGGGAGCCGUAACACAGGUGCUGCA